AUGACUUCCAGAGACAGAGGAAAGGCUGAAGGUUGAGUUGAUUACCAGUAGCUCACGAUAUAAUCAUUCAUGCCUACAUAACACAGCUUUCAUAAGAACCCAAUAGGACAGGGUUCAAGGACCCUCUAAAGAAUGCCACACCUAUAGAGGCAUGGAAACUCUUUGCCACUUUCAUCUGACUAUUGAUCUAUAUCCUUUGUAAUGCCUCUUAUAAGAAAUGGGCAGAUUCUAGCAGUGUUUGUGAGAAAAACUGAUGGAUCCUGCAGAUUAACUAUGGACAGCCAAAUAUUGAGUAAAGUGAUGUCUACAACAGCAUCAGCUAUGCCUGAUAUGGUGUUAAUUCACAUUGUGAAGUUCCAAAAUCAGAAGAUGAUACAGAAAGAUUGCUCUGGUUGCCUGGUUUCUGAAGAAAUCGUGUACCCUGUCUGGAUAGUGUCUUACUUCCUAUCCACAAAGUUGUGAAAUAAUCUGGAAUUAAAUGGCAACCUAAACAACCCUAGAGUUGCCUGAACACAGAGCCAUUGCUGUGUUGAUCAUUAUAGCAGUCCUCAAUAGGAAAAAGAUGCCUCCCUGGUCGACCUUCCUGGAAAGUAUGCAUAUCAUUACUGCUUAGAUUUUGUUGGAGAGAAAUCACACUACCAUCAAAGACAACGGGUCAAAAAGAAUGCCGUCCUAAGCUGAGAAGCCAUCUUCCUAACGACAGCCAUGAUUGCUAAAGUCCUAUUGCAUGCUUUAAGAUGCCUUGCGUUUGGUGAAUUGAAGCCUGAUAUGUCAACAUACUCUCUGUAAACACAGCAGCACAGAGGGCAAAGAAACACUUAUCCAGCACCACAGCUAGGACAAAAGGAAUUAUUUUGACAGUAAAUGGACUUGCAGCUUAAGGUUGGUAUGUACCCAAUUGUGACUAAACCAAAAGAAACAAAUCUGGAAACUGAAGUAUCAAUACGUGAAAAGCGUUCUUUUGGUAUUGGGAGUGCCAGUUGUCUUUGUUUCAUGAACUACUUCUCCGUAAUAGCAUGCAGCCAUCUUCAAGAGGUGAGAAUUUCACUUAGCGACUUAAACAGAAGUGUUAUCUCAAGAUAAUAUAAUAUCUGGAGGUAAAACAGCAUCCCCAGGAUAAACAGGAAUACUACACUCUUCCUUAAAUAACAAAAACUGCGGCUGGGCGUGGUGGCUCACACUUGUAAUCCCAGCACUUUGGGAGGCCGAGGUGGGCGGAUCACGAGGUCAGGAGAUGGAGACCAUCUUGGCUAACACGGUGAAACCCCGUCUCUACUAAAAAUACAAAAAAUUACACAGGCGCGGUGGCGGGCGCCUAUAGUCCCAGCUACCCGGGAGGCUGAGGCGGGAGAAUGGCGCGAACCUGGGAGGCGGAGCUUGCAGUGAGCCAAGAUCGCGCCACUGCACUCCAGCCUGGGCGACAGAGCAAAACUUCGUCUCAAAAAAAAAAAAAAAAAAAAAACUGGAAAAUUUGUUCUAAACAGCUUCAUGGGAAGAGAUAAUGAGCUAUGCAGCUCAACAUAAUUCAACAAAUAUUUGUUGAGUAUCUAUACUAGAACCUGUUCCAGAUGUUUGAAAUACUUCAGUGAACAUACCAUUUUUUAUAGAAAAAAGACCACUUUCUUUACCUUUGUGGAGCUUGCAUUCUAUCAGUGGGAGACAUACACUCCACCAUUGUUACACUAAGUAAGUAUAAUAUUUAGCCAAUUCUUAUAAAUUGUAUGUUACCUCAGCAUCCAUUUUGAAAAUAGGUUUAACUUGCACAUACCAGAAGCUUGGCUUAGUGACCCUCAAAGGAGUUUUCACUUCCUCCAAAGUCCUAUAUGUGGUCGCCUCCGAUAUCUGCCGUAUACAACUGUCUCCUGGUGACCACCUCCCUGUGAGACAGCAGAUACAACCUACCCCUCUGGCCUUCUCACCUCUCGUGGACUGUGUAGAUGCUGCAGUGGCCCCUGCUCAGUUACAGUGUGACUAUUGGACUUGUUCCUGCUUGCUAUAAGCCCACUGUAUUAGUCCAUUCUCACGCUGCUAAUAAAAACGUACCUGAAACUGCCUAAAAAAAAAAAAAAAAAA
rnacentral:lncRNA from 1 species